AUUGAACGCUGGCGGCAGGCCUAACACAUGCAAGUCGAGCGAGCGGCGGACGGGUGAGUAAUGUAUGGGGACUGCCCGAUAGAGGGGGAUAACUACUGGAAACGGUAGCUAAUACCGCAUACUAUCGGAUAACCCAUAUGGGAUGAGCUAGUAGGUGAGGUAAUGGCUCCCCUAGGCGACGAUCCCUAGCUGGUCGGAGAGGAUGACCAGCCACACUGGAACUGAGACACGGCCCAGACCCCUACGGAGGCAGCAGUGGGGAAUAUUGCACAAUGGGCGCAAGCCUGAUGCAGCCAUGCCGCGGGGAUGAAGAAGGCCUUGGGGUUGUAAAGUACUUUCAGCGGGGAGGCGUUACCGGCAGAAGAAGCACCGGCUAACUCCGUGCCAGCAGCCGCGGUAAUUC
rnacentral:rRNA from 1 species